UACGUAGGGGGCAAGCGUUGUCCGGAAUCAUUGGGCGUAAAGCGCGUGUAGGCGGCUCGGUAAGUCCGCUCUGAAAGUCCAGGGCUCAACCCUGGGAUGCGGGUGGAUACUGCCGGGCUCGAGUCCGGAAGAGGCGAGCGGAAUUCCUGGUGUAGCGGUGGAAUGCGUAGAUAUCAGGAAGAACACCGGUGGCGGAGGCGGCUCGCUGGGCCAGUUCUGACACUCAUCCGCGAAAGCGUGGGGAGCAAACAGG
rnacentral:rRNA from 1 species